GACGAACGCUGGCGGCGUGCCUAAUACAUGCAAGUAGAACGCUGAAGGAGGAGCUUGCUUCUCUGGAUGAGUUGCGAACGGGUGAGUAACGCGUAGGUAACCUGCCUGGUAGCGGGGGAUAACUAUUGGAAACGAUAGCUAAUACCGCAUAAGAGUAGAUGUUGCAUUACAUUUACUUAAAAUGUGCAAUUGCAUCACUACCAGAUGGACCUGCGUUGUAUUCGCUAGUUGGUGGGGUAACGGCUUACCAAGGCGACGAUACAUAGCCGACCUGAGAGGGUGAUCGGCCACACUGGGACUGAGACACGGCCCAGACUCCUACGGGAGGCAGCAGUAGGGAAUCUUCGGCAAUGGACGGAAGUCUGACCGAGCAACGCCGCGUGAGUGAAGAAGGUUUUCGGAUCGUAAAGCUCUGUUGUAAGAGAAGAACGAGUGUGAGAGUGGAAAGUUCACACUGUGACGGUAUCUUACCAGAAAGGGACGGCUAACUACGUG
rnacentral:rRNA from 1 species